UGGGGAAUUUUGGACAAUGGGCGAAAGCCUGAUCCAGCCAUGCCGCGUGCAGGAUGAAGGCCUUCGGGUUGUAAACUGCUUUUGUACGGAACGAAAAGUCUCUUUCUAAUAAAGAGGGAUCAUGACGGUACCGUAAGAAUAAGCACCGGCUAACUACGUGCCAGCAGCCGCGGUAAUACGUAGGGUGCAAGCGUUAAUCGGAAUUACUGGGCGUAAAGCGUGCGCAGGCGGUUAUAUAAGACAGUUGUGAAAUCCCCGGGCUCAACCUGGGAACUGCAUCUGUGACGUUAUAGCUAGAGUACGGUAGAGGGGGAUGGAAUUCCGCGUGUAGCAGUGAAAUGCGUAGAUAUGCGGAGGAACACCGAUGGCGAAGGCAAUCCCCUGGACCUGUACUGACGCUCAUGCACGAAAGCGUGGGGAGCAAACA
rnacentral:rRNA from 1 species